rnacentral:piRNA from 1 species
UACGAGUGUGACGCGUGUGGGAAAGC